rnacentral:lncRNA from 1 species
CGCCAUGGUUGAAGUUUGCUAAUAUUAUUAUGCAGAAACAGUCGGUUCCUUUGCACAUCUUUUGCUAGCUAGAUUGUUCGAAAAAAAUAUAGAGAUGGAAAAAUGCAACCAUGUAACAUUAAUGUUGGGAGGGUAAUAUUAUGUAGAGAUUCUUGCAUCUGCAUGUUAACUUCAGGUUAACUUUAUUGUCAAUGCAAAUGUAAUUAUGAUCAUGCAUCAACAGGAGCCGUCCUCAUUUUAUUGGAACAUUCAGGUGUCUUUCUCUUGUGUGGUGCUAUUGCUCUAUUGUUUGCAUUGCUAAAGCUUGGUUGUAUAAGAUGUUAUAUCCCAGAAAAAACAUAGAGUGACUCAACUAUACAAAUGUUAUCUGAAUAUUCAGUACAUUCUUCUCUAACUGUUGGUAAAGGUGGUGGUAUUGCUUAUCUGAAUUAACUUAUAUCCAACGGUACAUGCUUCUUUGAAUGUUCGUAAAGCUUGGUGGUAUUUCCAGUUGGUACAGAUAUUUAUGAACGUAGCCAAGGUAAUUAUUGAGAAUUUUACAACUGAUGCAUAUUGUGAUUCCAACUCAUACUUAUGUGCGAAAAAUUUCUACGUUGGUGACUGCAUGUACUAUAUUGGUGCCACAAUAUCACAUGUUUAUGUCAUUUUUUCCUAGGUGAUGAGAAUGUGCCUAGGAUUAGUAAGUUGUUAUAGGCCAGUUGAUUUCGAUUGAUUUGAAAAAUUGUGGACCCAGUCAAAAUCAUGAACGAAAUCUAAUACUUAAUUUCUUAAUGAAAUAAAAUAUCAUAUUUAUUAAAAUAGUUGAGUAAGAGAUUUCUCAAUGACAUAAAAAGAACAUUGUUAAUUAAAAUAAUUGAGUGAAAGAUUGUUGAUCCGUCAAAAUAGAUGACCCAUUUCUAAAUUGAUGACCUUAAUUGAAUAAGAGGCCUCAAAUUAAAAUUCAUGAUAUAGAAUAUAUAUAGAUACGUAAUUUUUAACGUGCGUUGCACGUGCGAGCUAACUAGUUACAAAAAAACUCUAUAGAUGUUUUUGCAACACAUUCUUUGUUGGAAAAAAUAAUAUGUACAUAAGUUCU